rnacentral:rRNA from 1 species
AUGAUUUCAUUAUAGUGUCCCAGAACUAUGAUAUUUUAGAUAAGUUAAUUCUAGAUGUUAACAAAUUUCUAAAAAUAAGAGGUUUAGAAUUAAAUAUGGAAAAAAGUAAAAUCACUAAAAUUGAAAAUGGAUUUGAUUUUGUAGGUUUCCACUUUAGGGAAUUCUCGGAUUCUACUCGAGAAAUCGGGGAAAAGAAAGGGAUUUUUCUAUACAAACCUACAAAAGAAAGCUUACAAAAAGUAAAAGCUAAAAUAAAACUUUGUGUCAAAGAACAUUCGCAACUUCCUCUGUGAAUGCUUUUCUCAAAACUAAAUCCAAUAUUAAGGGGCUGAGCAAAUUAUUACUCGUCUAGUACUGCAAAGUUAGCUUAUACCCGAAUAAGUAAAUACGUUUUUGAUUCCAUUCAUCGCAUGAUAAAAAUUAAGCAUCCAAAGCUUAAUGCUAAAGCGCUUAAAUCCAAAUUUUAUCACAAAGUGAAUAAUAGAGAUUGAUUAAUGUCUACUAGCACUGAAUUUAAAAGAUUUAAGAAAAUUAAUUUGUUUCAAAUAUCCGACACUCCUAUUAAAAGAACUACUAUGAUAAAACUUGACGCUAAUUCCUAUUUGGGUGAGUUUGAGGAGUAUUUUAAUAAAAGAUCUUUGAAUAUGUGUUUUAAUCAGCAAACGAAUAAUAUUCGAUUAAAGCUGGCAAAAAGACAAAAAGGUAUGUGCCAUAUAUGUAAAUAAUCUUUAAAUAGUAAAUAUGGAGAUAUAUUGUACGAAUUAGAAAUUCACCAUAUCAUACCUGUGGUGAGUGGAGGUAAAAAUAUAUUAAAAAAUAUGACUCUUCUUCAUAAAACGUGUCAUCGCGACAGAUAAAGACGAAUGAGAUAAUUAUACUUAAGGAACUCGGCAAAUUUGCUCCGUACGUUCGCAACAAGGAGUACCUUAAAGGAUUCAAAAAUUAGGGGUAGCGACUGUUUAACAAAAACUCAAAACUUUGCAAAUUCGAAAGAAGACGUAUAAGGUUUGACGCCUGCCCAGUGCUUGAAAGCGAAAAAUACACGUUAACGCUUGUAUCAUAAACUCAAGUAAACGGCGGUCUUAACUAUAAGGAUCCUCAGGUAGCGAAAUUCCUUGGCGGGUAAAUUCCGUCCUGCAUGAAUGGCGUCACGACUACCCCACUGUCUCUAGUAUAAACUCAGCGAAAUUACAUUGUCUGUGAAAAUGCAGACAUCCUACAACAAGACGGAAAGACCCUAUGAUUCUUAACUAUAAUUUUACGUCGCAAUAAUUUUGUGUACAGUACAGUAAAAGUAGGAGUAUACUUAUACAAUUUUGAAAAACUACUCUGUACAUAAGAAAUUGCUUACUGAAGAGAAAAUAUGUAAAAGUGGUAGUUUACUUGGGACGAGGACCUCCUAAACUGUAACGGAGGUGCACAAAAGUAAAUUUUAAUUAGUUUUUUGUAUUAAUAAAAUAUGUAAUGGUAAAAAUUUGCUUGACGGUAAGAGUUACAACUCAAACCGGGACGAAAGUCGGUCAUAAUGAUCCGGCAGUAAUGUAUGGAAAUACUGUCGCUUAUCGGAAAAAAGAAACUCUAGGGAUAACAGAUUUAUCAUGGCUGAGAGUUCUUAUCGACGCCAUGGUUUGAUACCUCGAUGUCGGCUCAUCUUUUCCUGGAGCUGUAACAGGUUCCAAGGGUAUGGUUGUUCGCCAAAUAAUAAGAUACGUGAGCUGGGUUCAGAACGUCGUGAGACAGUUCGGUCCCUAUCUGUUGUGGGUAAGAAAAAACUAGAUUUAUCUUUAGUACGAGAGGAUUAAGAUAUAUUAACCAAUAGUGUAUCGGUUGUAUUGUUUCUUGCAUUGCCGAGUAGCCACGUUAACAUUAUAUAAGUGCUGACAGCUUAAAAGCACAAAAAUAAUCUUUAUUUUUUCAAGAACUUUCUAGAAGAUUACUAGAUAGAUCGGUUUAUUAUUUAAUACUUGUAAAAGUAAGUAAAUAAAUACGAAAAGUUCAUUAUAAUUUGUGUU